UUAAUAAUUUAUAUAUAAUAUUUUACGAUAUUUAUAUAAUAUUAACAUAAUUCAUAUUACUAUUAUUAGUAUAUGAAAUUUUACUUUGAGAAAAUUAGAGUGCUUAAAGCAGGCUUUUGCCUUGAAUACUCCAGCAUGGAAUAAUAUAAAAGAUUUUUAUCUUUUUUAUUGGUUCUAAGAUAAAAAUAAUGAUUAAUAGGGACAGUUGGGGGCAUUUGUAUUUAACAGUCAGAGGUGAAAUUCUUAGAUUUGUUAAAGACAAACUAGUGCGAAAGCAUUUGCCAAGGAUGUUUUCAUUAAUCAAGAACGAAAGUUAGGGGAUCGAAGACGAUCAGAUACCGUCGUAGUCUUAACCAUAAACUAUGCCAACUAGAGAUUGGAGGUUGUU
rnacentral:rRNA from 1 species